AUUGAACGCUGGCGGCAGGCCUAACACAUGCAAGUCGAGCGAGGGGCGGACGGGUGAGUAAUGUAUGGGAAUGUGCCCGUUAGUGGGGGAUAACUCCUGGAAAGUAUGGCUAAUACCGACUAAUAUCAGUUGGCCACUUGUGGGAUUAGCUAGUAGGUGGGGUAAUGGCUCACCAAGGAGACGAUCCCUAGCGGGUCUGAGAGGAUGAGCAGCCACACUGUGACUGAGACACGGCCCAGACUCCUACGGGAGGCAGCAGUGGGGAAUAUUGCACAAUGGGCGCAAGCCUGAUGCAGCCAUGCCGCGUGUGUGAAGAAGGCCUUCGGGUUGUAAAGUACUUUCAGCAGGGAGGCGUUACCCGCAGAAGAAGCACCGGCUAACUCCGUGCCAGCAGCCGCGGUAAUAC
rnacentral:rRNA from 1 species